rnacentral:rRNA from 1 species
UGGGGAAUAUUGCACAAUGGGCGCAAGCCUGAUGCAGCCAUGCCGCGUGUAUGAAGAAGGCCUUCGGGUUGUAAAGUACUUUCAGCGGGGAGGAAGGCGAUAAGGUUAAUAACCACAGCAAUUGACGUUACCCGCAGAAGAAGCACCGGCUAACUCCGUGCCAGCAGCCGCGGUAAUACGGAGGGUGCAAGCGUUAAUCGGAAUUACUGGGCGUAAAGCGCACGCAGGCGGUCUGUCAAGUCGGAUGUGAAAUCCCCGGGCUCAACCUGGGAACUGCAUUCGAAACUGGCAGGCUAGAGUCUUGUAGAGGGGGGUAGAAUUCCAGGUGUAGCGGUGAAAUGCGUAGAGAUCUGGAGGAAUACCGGUGGCGAAGGCGGCCCCCUGGACAAAGACUGACGCUCAGGUGCGAAAGCGUGGGGAGCAAACA